GUGUGGGUUGAAGAGAGAUGACAGUCGGUGACGGAUGACAGUUGUUCCAGAGCGCGUCCAUUCUCUGUGUGUCUGUGACCGCGAGGCCGGCACCACUGUGCGGACACCCAGCUGUUAUUUGCUGGGAUAAAUGCAGCCAUGCCUUCAAGAGAAUGCCUGGCUCCCGCUAAUGGAGAGCUCAGACCGAAGCCUUGAAAAGUCAUUUUGCCUGCCUGUGUGUGUGUGUGUCUGUGUGUGUGUGUGUGUGUGUGUGUGUGUAAGCAAGAGGGCCAGAAAAAAAAAAAAAAAAAAGCACCUGUGCUCAUUCAUCUGGGCAAUUUUCUGCUGCAUUAUUUGUUCACGCGGCCGCGAACGCAAUUCCGAACAUAUGAGCGCAACAGAACCAUUUAUUUGACGGGUGGCCCAGGGUAAACAGAGAGAGAGAGAAGACACGGGCGGAAGAAGCCGACAAAAUGAUAUCCCAAAAAGACACGGCCAGACAGGAGUGGGCAUAAUUAGUUUGGAAAUGGGCCACCGAGUCUCUUGUUUCGUGUUUACCACAAGGACUAGUUGUCAGAUCAGACAACACAGCAGACAGAAAUACUUCUACCACCUUGACUGACUUUCUUAAACUAAAAGUGUGGCUCAUUUUGUGCGUUUUCAUUUUAACCUUUGUUUUUAAAAUCAUUAUGAUUUUCCAACAACAUGGAUACAUCAUUUGGACAAUCUUAGAAGACAUGUAUUUGUCUCUACACCACUGGAACGCCGUCCUUUAAGAGAACAAUUUGAAUGGAUGUUACAGUACAUGAGACUUUCUCAUGUAUGACUAUUACCUUUUUAAAAACAAAACAGAAAUCAGUGUUAUGUAAUUGUAUGUUUACAGAUCUAUCUCUUAACUAAAAAAAAGAGUAAACAGACCUGUACUAACUCCACAGUGGAGUGUGGAGAUGAGAGAGUAUCAAACAUUGUUAAAGGGAAUAUUAACGGGUGCAGUGUUACUAAUAUUACAGAAGUGUCAAAGGCAGUGAUUGAAAUGUUGCUGUCUGUAGCACACAAGUCCUCCUGAAGGUAUAGUGGUUUUCUGUAGUCCACCUGAAGGUAUAGCGUUUUUUUUGUAGUUGGACAUGUGUGAGGUUGGUCUUUUGCUUUCUUCCCUCCACAGCUUAAAAACCCAUUUCGGCUGAAGAGCUCCUAGAUGAGCAAGCUUUGACUGGGGCUUGGGGGUUGGCCCAAGGGAAAGGGAGCUCCACUCGUUUUUUGGUGUGGUCACACACCGGCUGCUUUUGUAUGGCAACAGUGACCCACUAUAUAACAACAAGCAAUCACAUGGGCCAUUGGACAGAUUUCCAUUUGGCACAGCUUUUUGAAAACUGGGAUGGGAGAGCAAAAGCAGACCAUCCAGGAACUCGUCUGUACGGAUGCAGUCAGGCCACUGCUCACCACAUGCCCCCCAACCAGAAUUAUGACAUUAGCCUGUGCGUGACAGGAGAUUAGAGGAGAUGAGUGGCAGUGACCUCCGGCUCAAAUGACCUCAAGCUGCCCUCAAACCUGGGUCGUCAUGGAAACGCUGGACUGUAUGUGGUGUUGGCCACCAGCAUGCACCAGCGCUCCCCCGAAUUCUGCAUUUCAUUUUGGAUAAAAACGGGCCGACAUACUGCAUAUAGGUGGCGUUUUUCUCAGGCCCCUCAACAUGUUGAUUUGAAAUAAACACGUGUCCUUUGCCGAGUCACUCCUGACUGCUUGCAUAUUGGUGACAUUUGACAUUGUGCUGUUUGAGCUGGGGACACAUAGUCGGCUCUUAGCUGGGUUUCGUGAUAAUGCAGCCUUUUAAAGAGAUGAUGUGCCGCUGUGCUGUGUUAUGUAAAUGGUAUAAUUAUCUUCUGGAGGAUGACCAAUGGCCAAAGCCAAAUUCCUUGUACACUGUAUGUGUAACAGUAUUUUGGUCAGUAAAGUUGGUUAUGAUUCAGUUGAUUGGGUUUAUGCAAAGUUACAAAUACACAGGAAGCCUGACAUGUGUUCCUGGCAGAGGUCAGCACACUGCCACGUGCAUGUCUUCCCUGGCUAGAGCUCCCAGUCCCAGGUGUUCAUGGGCUAAUGCAUCAGGAAGAGCACACAGUAUUAUGGACAGGUGUGUCAAAAUGUGUGUGUGUGCGUGUGAGAGAGUGUGCAUAUUUUGAGUUCUGUGCUGUGUGCGGACAGGUGCAGUGUUAGUUGUUUUUGUUGUUGUCUAUUAAUAAAAUGCUUACAUACUUGGAGUAACACAGAAUUAUGAAAUCAUUCUAAAGGCAGGUUAUAAAUUGACACCAAUUCAAAAUAGCUAACGGUGUUCACAGCAUCAUGACAUUUUUUUAAUUUGUUUGCGUUUUCUUUUUAAUCAUAUAAUGCAUUGACAUAAUAGAACCCCUGUCGUUUCAUUGUGCCUUUAAAAUUGCCUGAUUGAUGUAUGGGCAAAGAAAGCAUUUUAAAUUAUAGACAAUAACAUACUGCACCUAUAAGGUAGAGUGGUCAAUUAGAGUGUGUGCGUGUGUUUAUAAGUGGGCUUUGAAUACAGGGAAGUGUGUGUGUGUGUGUGUCUUUGUGUGUGCUGUUUGUCUGAACAGAGCUGAAAGAUAUGCUGCUACCUGAAUUAAAAUUGAGCAAAAUAA